rnacentral:tRNA from 1 species
GCCCCGAUAGCUCAGUCGGUAGAGCAAAGGACUGAAAAUCCUUGUGUCGCUGGUUCGAUUCCAGCUCGGGGCA